CUUUAUUUUGAUCUAUAAAAUUUUCAAAUAUUCAUAGCAAAUAAUAUUCUGAGGGCCGUCAAAGGUAGGUGAAAAUCAUCAAAAAUGCUGGCGGUGGCUGGCAACUUCUUUUAAAAAUGCUGGCAGGGAAAGAGUCAACCUUCAUGUUCAGAGCCACACACUUAUGAAAUGCCAAUGUGUUCACCCAGAGAAGAAUAACUUGUUUGAUUAGGGUUGACAAACACAAUGAAUCCAACAAACAGAAAAACUCAAAGCUCUGUACAGGUCUAAUAAACCACAUCUAAAGACGAGAAACAGGGAAAUUGAAGUAUUCUCUGGUGUUUGACAGAUAAUGAAUAAUAGAAAUAUAUUAAAUUAAAAAGCUUACUCAAUACAUAAUAUGUAAUAUGCUGUCUGAUGUGUGGCUAGACUUUGACCUUAGAUGCUCAUGUCACGUGACGAGCAGUACUGUAUUUAAACUAAAACCGGUAAAACCAGCAGAUUGGUUUGUAUUGUAGGUUUGAUCACAACAGUCAGUUGUAACACUUUUGAUCUGUAGCACAAAUCUAUUCAAAAAGAAAAUGCUUAUUCUUUUGUAUCUUUUGUCAUGUUUCAAAGCUGUCUAUGCAGGCUCUCACUCACUGAUGUAUUUUGCAACAUAUAUAAUUGGACAGACACCUUUUCCAGAAUUCAGUGUUGUGGGAAAGGUGGAUGAUGUGCAAGUAUCGUACUUCGACUCAGAUACAUGGAGAGCUGUCAAUCACUCUCACAGUGAUGCUAAGCAUGAUGAGAAGCAAAAUGAUGAAGAUGUUAUAUUUGGCGAUAUGUAUAACAGCUUGAAAGGUCAUGCUUUUUACCUGAAGAACAACCUAAAUCUCUCAGAUGGUGUACAUAUAUAUCAGAGGCUUGCUGGAUGUGAAUUGUUAGACAAUGACAAACCCGGUCUAGUUCACUCAUGGGAUGCUUUCAACGGUGAAAUUAAAGAGUGGGGUAUCUUUGACCCAGAGACAAGAGAACACCAGAUUAGCUUGUCAUUAAUACGUGCAUGGGACCAGCCAAAAAUUCUUUAUGUAAAGUUUCUGUAUGAAAAUAUUUAUCUUCCUUAUUGCCUGAAAAUUUUGAGGAGGAACUUGCACAUGAACAAAAACAGCAUUCUGCGAAAAGUGAAACCUAGAGUCAGACUUCUUAAAAAGGCGCAAGCAUCUCAUGAGGUUCAAAUCACAUGCCUGGUGACUGGUUUUUAUCCCCGCCACAUUAACCUGACUCUAGUCAGAGGUGGACACCCUGCUGUUGAUGGAAAUAUCACAGGAGGUGAUCUUCUGCCCAAUGGAGAUGGAACAUACCAGAUAAGGAAGAGUUUGGUGAUCAGUGUUAAGGAACUACAUGACAGACAUAAUUACAGCUGUGAAAUAAAUCACCUGAGUCUGGACAACAAAUUGGAUAUUAUGUUUGAUCUGGUAGAAACUGACCUGGGAUCAUCCACUUUGUCCCUGGUUACCUGUACCUGUCUGGUGGUGUUUAUAUGUGUGUCUCUUAUAAUAACAGCACUUAUCAUAUGGAAGAGGAAAAGCCAUGCUGCUGGUAAAUUUAGCUGCUGUUUGAAUGUAAAUAUCAGUAUACUUAUAUGGUAUUAUAUUAUAAGAAAUAAUGUGUAAUCUUUGUAAAAUUCUGCCCGUUUUUAAAGUGAGAUUUGCAAGUUGAAAAUUGGUGAAUAAAUAAUAAGAUAUUAAAUUCUGUGUAAGAUGUAAAUUCUGUCUUACUCAUGAACAGACUCCAGAAAGUCACAGAGUGAUUACUCCCCUACACCAACACAAGAGUCUUCUAUGUGAUGCUCUGCUCAGGAAUAAGAGUGCUUUCAGUAACAGGCUGAUUCAAACUUGCAGUAAAGUUCCCAAUGAAUUGUGGAAAUAAGGAAAAUAAUAUAAAUCCUCCCUUUAACAUGGUAAAACUUUAUGCCCAUUGUACCCUAUUAAAAAUAGGGUUAAGGGUUAAUUGGGCUAAAAUGUGGAUUUUAUUUUAGAUUUAACCACUAUAUAUC